rnacentral:rRNA from 1 species
UACGAAGGGUGCUAGCGUUGCUCGGAAUCACUGGGCGUAAAGGGCGCGUAGGCGGGUCUUUAAGUCAGGGGUGAAAUCCUGGAGCUCAACUCCAGAACUGCCUUUGAUACUGAAGAUCUUGAGUUCGGGAGAGGUGAGUGGAACUGCGAGUGUAGAGGUGAAAUUCGUAGAUAUUCGCAAGAACACCAGUGGCGAAGGCGGCUCACUGGCCCGAUACUGACGCUGAGGCACGAAAGCGUGGGGAGCAAACAGG